GCCUCUUGCACAUGGCCGUUGUGCUCCCAUGGCCAUAUUGUGGGCCGCAUACGGCGGUUCCGCAAUACACGGGGUACCGGCCGUCUGCAUUCCACAUCAAGGAUGCAGACGCAUUCACUUAAAUAGGUCCACAAAUCCGGAGAUGCGGUGAAGAACGGAAUGACAGCAUUUCAAAGGACAGUCAUUUUG